UACGUAGGUGGCAAGCGUUAUCCGGAUUUAUUGGGCGUAAAGAGAACGCAGGCGGUCUUUUAAGUCUGAUGUGAAAGCCUUCGGCUUAACCGGAGUAGUGCAUUGGAAACUGGGAGACUUGAGUGCAGAAGAGGAGAGUGGAACUCCAUGUGUAGCGGUGAAAUGCGUAGAUAUAUGGAAGAACACCAGUGGCGAAAGCGGCUCACUGGUCUGUAACUGACGCUGAGGUUCGAAAGCGUGGGUAGCAAACAGG
rnacentral:rRNA from 1 species